AUGCCCAACGGCGAGCCCGCCCCCGGCGAUGGCCAGACCGAGGCCGCCGUUACUGUCGAUUCCGUGAAGGAUUCGGCAAAUCCCGAAAGCGCGGAGGCGGACGUGGAGGUGGAGGAACAGGGGGAGGACGACGCCAUGGUGGAUGCCGACGCCGACGCCGACGCCGUUGGUUCUACCAAGAAUUCGGCGGUGCUUGAAGAAGAGGGUGCCGAGGAAGUGGGGGAGGAGCACAAGGGCGACGCCCUAGUGGAUGCGGCUGCCACCACCGUUGCGUCCCUUGACGAUUCGGGGAAGGUUGAAGCCCAAGGUGCGGAGGAAGAGGUAGAGGAGCGUUUAGGCGAUACCCUGGUGGAUGUUUCUGUGGCUCAUCAGGUCAAGACUGAGGCCCAGGGAAAUGAGGGGGCGGAGACGGAGGGUGAGGCCCAGGGAAAUGAGGUGGUGGAGACCAAGGUCGAGGCCCAGGGAGAGGAGGGGGCUGAGUUGAAGGAUGACACCCAGGGAAAUGAAGCUGCCGAGAUGGAUGUUGAUAAAGCAGGAAAUGGAGAUGAGCACACCGAGGCCAGGGUGGAUGGUGACAAGGGCAGCUUGCUGAAAGAGGAAAUCGACAAUGGUGGAGAUGAUAAGAAGGAUGCCAAUGGUGAGGAUGAGCUAGUGUCGUCACUAGCUGGGGAGGGUGAAAACCAAAACUUGUCUGACAAGGUCUCAAACAACUCCUUCAUGUUUGAUUACACCCGUGGAGGCGAUGACUCUGGGACGGAGGAGGAGCAGGCUGAGUUUAUCAAGGAGCUUGACCGGUUCUACACGAUGAAAUUAAUGGAAUUCAAGCCCCCAAAAUUUUAUGGUGAAGGAUUGAAUUGCCUCAAGUUGUGGAGACAAGUAACUGGAUUGGGUGGCUAUGAUCAGGUGACAUCAUGCAAACUAUGGCGUCAAGUGGGAGAAUCAUUCAAACCUCCGAAGACAUGCACAACUGUUUCAUGGACCUUCCGCAACUUCUAUGAGAAGGCACUCCUUGAAUACGAGAAACACAAGAUUGAAACUGGCGAGUUCCAUGUGGCUGCAUCUACUUUAACCGAGCGAAUUGCUUCUGAUAGUCAGGUGGGUGGAAGCCUUGCAUCAGGAUCUGGAAGAGCUAGAAGAGAAUCUGCAACUCGCGCCAUGCAAGGCUGGCAUUCGCAGCGCUUGCUUGGCAAUGGUGAAAUUGCUGAUCCAGUAAUUAAGGAUAAAGCAGCUAUGCCUGUCUUGAAGAAGGAGAAAAAUCCAAAAAGCAGUGGUCUGGCCAAGAGGAAAAGGACACCAACCUUGGAAGAUGAAAAGGCAACACCAUACAAAUCUGAGAAGCUACAAAAUGACUCGACAGUUAUUGACAUGGGCCCUCCUGCUGAUUGGGUGAAGAUAAAUGUUCGGAGAACUAAAGAUUGCUAUGAAGUCUAUGCAUUGGUUCCUGGCCUUCUUCGUGAAGAGGUACAUGUUCAGUCAGAUCCUGCUGGCCGCUUGAUAGUUACGGGAGAGCCUGAGCAACUAGAUAAUCCUUGGGGUGUUACUCCAUUCAAGAAGGUCAUUAGUUUGCCCUCCCGCAUCGAUCCUCACCAAACCUCAGCAGUUGUCACUCUCCAUGGGCAAUUAUUUGUUCGUGCACCGUUUGAGCAGUCAAAAUCAUGA
rnacentral:rRNA from 1 species